AGUUUGAUUCUGGCUCAGAAUGAACGUUGGCGGCGUGGAUUAGGCAUGCAAGUCGAACGGUAAGGUUGCUUAGCUUGCUUUGUAACCCUAGAGUGGCGAAAGGGAUAGUACAAUGUAGAUCAUAUACCCUCAGGUUGGGGAUAGCGUCUGGAAACGGGCGGUAAUACCCGAUAACAUCUCCGGAUCAAAGGUGAGAUUCCGCCUGAGGAUUAGUUUUACACACUAUUAGCUUUGUUGGCGGGGUAAUGGCCCACCAAGGCGACGAUGGUUACCGGGCGUGAGAGCGUGACCCGGAUCACUGGGACUGAGACACUGCCCAGACACCUACGGGUGGCUGCAGUCGAGAAUCUUCGGCAAUGGACGAAAGUCUGACCGAGCGACGCCGCGUGUAAUGAUGAAGGCCUUCGGGUUGUAAAAUACUGUCGAUUAGGCGGAAAUGCGCAGGGGUUAUCUCCUGCGUUUGACCUUAUCAUUGGAGGUAAGGACGGGCUUAAGUUCGUGCCAGCCGCGGC
rnacentral:rRNA from 1 species